rnacentral:tRNA from 1 species
GUCUCAAUAUCUCGGUGGUUUAAGCGAUGGCACGGUACGCCAGAGGCCCUGGGUUCGAGUCCCGGUUGAGACU